rnacentral:rRNA from 1 species
GCGAAAGCGUUAAGUAUCCCACCUGGGGAGUACGCCGGCAACGGUGAAACUCAAAGGAAUUGACGGGGGCCCGCACAAGCGGAGGAACAUGUGGUUUAAUUCGAUGAUACGCGAGGAACCUUACCCGGGCUUGAAUUGCGACUGACUGCAUCAGAGAUGAUGUUUCCAGCAAUGGCAGUCGUGAAGGUGCUGCAUGGUUGUCGUCAGCUCGUGCCGUGAGGUGUCGGCUUAAGUGCCAUAACGAGCGCAACCCUUUUCCCUGUUUGCCAUCGGGUAAUGCCGGGCACUCCAGGGAUACUGCCAUCGUAAGAUGUGAGGAAGGUGGGGACGACGUCAAAUCAGCACGGCCCUUACGUCCGGGGCUACACACGUGUUACAAUGGGCGGCACAGAGGGCAGCGACCGCGCGAGCGGCAGCCAAUCCCGAAAUCCGCUCUCAGUUCGGACUGGAGUCUGCAACCCGACUCCACGAAGCUGGAUUCGCUAGUAAUCGCGCAUCAGCCAUGGCGCGGUGAAUACGUUCCCGGGCCUUGUACUCACCGCCCGUC